UGGGGAGUCGUCCAGAGGCAGGACGGCAGACUCUGGAUCUGCUUACAGGGGUUCGAAUCCUCUCUCCCCAGCCA
rnacentral:tRNA from 1 species